rfam:Glomerella graminicola M1.001 genomic scaffold supercont1.51, whole genome shotgun sequence.
GGGCGCUUGGUCUAGGGGUAUGAUUUUCGCUUCGCAUUUUCCACUGAUCUCUCGAAAGAGAGCUUCAGAGUUAAUGGAUCGCGACUGUGAGAGGCCGGGGGUUCAAAUCCCCCAGUGUCCA